CCAAAGCCUAAAAUUCAAUAUAAACAAGAAAACCAACCAUUAAAAUUUAGCGUGAUGAUUAUCAAGAUAGAGGUAUGCUAUAAAACCACUUCUAAGGGGACA